AGAGUUUGAUCCUGGCUCAGAUUGAACGCUGGCGGCGUGCUUAACACAUGCAAGUCGAGCGGUAACAGGUGUAGCAAUACAUGCUGACGAGCGGCGAACGGGUGAGUAAUGCUUCGGAAUCUUCCUCGUAGUGGGGAAUAACCUGGGGAAACUCAGGCUAAUACCGCAUACGAACUACGGUUGAAAGCAGGGGAUCGCAAGACCUUGCGCUAUGAGAUGAGCCGAAGUCGGAUUAGCUAGUUGGUAGGGUAACGGCCUACCAAGGCGACGAUCCGUAGCUGGUCUGAGAGGACGACCAGCCACACUGGGACUGAGACACGGCCCAGACUCCUACGGGAGGCAGCAGUGGGGAAUAUUGGACAAUGGGGGCAACCCUGAUCCAGCGACGCCGCGUGUGUGAAGAGGGCCUGCGGGUUGUAAAGCACUUUUAGUGGGGACAAAAAGCCGAGGGUUAAUACCUUUCGGUCUUGAUUUAACCCAAAGAAAAAGCACCGGCUAACUCUGUGCCAGCAGCCGCGGUAAUACAGAGGGUGCAAGCGUUAAUCGGAAUUACUGGGCGUAAAGCGUGCGUAGUCGGUUAUUUAAGUCGGAUGUGAAAUCCCCGGGCUCAACCUGGGAAUUGCAUUCGAUACUGGAUAGCUAGAGUUCGGCAGAGGGAAGUGGAAUUUCGGGUGUAGCGGUGAAAUGCGUAGAUAUCCGAAGGAACAUCAGUGGCGAAAGCGACUUCCUGGACCAGAACUGACGAUCAGGCACGAAAGCGUGGGGAGCAAACAGGAUUAGAUACCCUAGUAGUCC
rnacentral:rRNA from 1 species